rnacentral:tRNA from 1 species
GGUGCUGUGGUAUAGUGGACUAAACCUCUGCCUGUGGAGCAGACAUCUCCUAUGACCACAGGUUCUAGUCCUGGCUGCUCCU